CACCCAUCACGGGCGCAGCGACCGUUAGCGCCAUUUCCUGUCCCGACCGAAUAAUCUGUGGGCGGCUGACAACGAUUCCCCGACCGCUCAUUUUCGCCAGGACCUCGCUAACCCGCUGAUCAACUUCGUCGCGUUGUAUUACAUCCAGUUGGAAUGCCCGAUGCAUUUCACCACUUACCGGCCAGAUUGCCAGUGCGAUUAGGUUGGGAUCCUCUUCCAGCGUCUUCUGCAG
rnacentral:misc_RNA from 1 species